GAUGAACGCUGGCGGCGUGCCUAAUACAUGCAAGUCGAGCGAACGGACGAGAAGCUUGCUUUUCUGAUGUUAGCGGCGGACGGGUGAGUAACACGUGGAUAACCUACCUAUAAGACUGGGAUAACUUCGGGAAACCGGAGCUAAUACCGGAUAAUAUUUUGAACCGCAUGGUUCAAAAGUGAAAGACGGUCUUGCUGUCACUUAUAGAUGGAUCCGCGCUGCAUUAGCUAGUUGGUAAGGUAACGGCUUACCAAGGCAACGAUGCAUAGCCGACCUGAGAGGGUGAUCGGCCACACGGGAACUGAGACGCGGUCCAGGCUCCUACGAGGGGCAGCAGUAGGGAAUCUGCCGCAAUGGGCGAAAGCCUGACGGAGCAACGCCGCGUGAGUGAUGGAGGUCUUCGGAUCGGAAAACUCUGUUAUUGGGGAAGAACAUAUGUGUAAGUAACUGAGCACAGCGUGACGGUACCUAAUCAGAAAGCCACGGCUAACUACGUG
rnacentral:rRNA from 1 species